CCUACGGGGGGCAGCAGUGGGGAAUAUUGCACAAUGGGGGAAACCCUGAUGCAGCAACGCCGCGUGAGCGAUGAAGGCCUUCGGGUCGUAAAGCUCUGUCCUAAGGGAAGAAUACUGACGGUACCUUAGGAGGAAGCCCCGGCUAACUACGUGCCAGCAACCGCGGUAAUACGUAGGGGGCUAGCGUUAUCCGGACUUACUUGCCGUAAAGGGUCCGUAGUCGGCCUUUCAAGUCAGAGGUGAAAGGCUACGGAUCAACCGUAGUAAGCCUUUGAAACUGUAGGGCUGGGGUGCAGGAGAGGAGAGUGGAAUUACCAGUGUAGCGGGGAAAUGCGUAGAUAUUGGGAGGAACACCAGUUGCAAAGGCGGCAGUAUGGACUGUAACUGACGCUGAGGCACGAAAGCGUGGGGAGCGAACAGGAUUAGAUACCCCUGUAGUC
rnacentral:rRNA from 1 species